AAAUACCUUUUUUAAUUUGUGGGUAAUUAUUUUAAAAUUUCUUGGACAAAAAGUUGUAUUUACAUAUAUAGUAACUUCUGUGUAAAUUUCAGAUUUUUACCUUUUGUAAUUUGAAUAAAAUAAGAGAAGUUUGACGUUAUUUAUAUUGGUUUCCUUAUAUCUCGCCAGCGAUUACUCUGUGAGUGACGUCAUGCGCUCGGCAGAUGAAAACUCGUUUUUAGGAACAUCCGGGCCUGGUUAACGACUGACUGACUUAACAUAAAGGACAGGAGAUUAUGCUUACUUAGAACUGUGUUGCCAAGACGUUCCCGAAUUAAAAUAAAUGAAAUAUAUAUUCAUAUUGGCGCAAACAAUACCAAGUUCAGAGAAAUCUUUACAAAGCAACCUAAAUUUAUAGACGAGAGAACUUGCAGACAAAGGAAUGAAAAUAAAAUUAGCAAAGACCAAAACUUUACUUAUUUCCAAGACACUGAAAGAAAUCCAUAUAAACCUAGACGGAAAUUUAGUAGAACAUAUGAACGAUUUUGAAUAUUUAUAAACUAUAAUAGACAAAAAAUGAACAACAGAAUUGCUAAAACAUCAUGAUUAUAUCACUCCCUCACUACAGGUUUCAUUAGCAAAAGAGAAAUUAGUGAGAAGACAAAAGCGACAGUAUAUUAUAUACCUCCCUUCUCUGCUUCAUGGAAGUGAAACAUGGCUGGCUUUCCUAAUAAUUAAGCUUGAAUUAUCACAUCUUUAUUAUUAUUGUAGACAUUUAAAAUCCUUAUUAAUUGAAUUACAUUAAACUUACCACUUAUAAAAUGUUUACUUUUCAUAUUUUAAUUUUAGUUCCCUUAUAUCUGUUCUUCUUGUGGCUUUUAUCCAUUGUCCCCGGCUUUGUUUGGAUAAUUCAUUUAAAUGUAUUGCAUGGGGAGCCUUGGGAACAGUACAAAAUAAGACUUUUCCCUGUCUGCCCUACUCCCACAAUUUACAACAAUACAAGUUACAUGUAUAAGCUUCUCAAGAAAGCCCUUGCUACUUGCAAACUGAUAACUGCUAUGGACUAAUUUAGUUCUGUAGGCGAUAAACUACUUUAUAUUUGAUUUGCUAUCACAAUUUCGAUGUGCCCCGGGAGAGAUUAAAUGUCCAGCAAACGACGGCAAUGUUGCCAGAUUCCUUUUAGCGGGAAUUUUAAAAUUUUAUAGCAGUUUGGUUUUAAAUUUGACAGUUCUGUUUUGUCAAGUCAAAAAUCUUAACCUUACUUUUACAAGUGAUUAGGAUUAUUAUUUUAUUUACAUAUAAAUUGAAACAAUAAAUAUUGUGCUGUGUCAUAAUUUAAAACUCAUUAUGUUGCAGUCUUUUCCAGUUGAUAAAAUUGCAAUUCAAAAACUUUUAGAUUUGCACUAGAUUGGCACAGAAAGAGAACAGUACAAGAACAUGAAACAUCUUAUUAUGAAUGUAUAUGUAAGUGAUCCUCAAAAAAUUAUUUUACAAAACAAGAUAGAGAAAGAGCUUUAAAAUCCCAAGGAUCCUGCAAAAUGUUUAUUUGGUGUACUAGUCGAAUAAUAGUAUCUAAAAAUAUUGAAACUAUUUUAAAACAUAUUACGGACACGAGGAUGAUAUAGAGCACUUACAUAAAUACCAAAAUCAGAUAAAUAUCUCUUCAAAGUUUAUUUUGAGACUUUCUUCAAAAAUCUUUCCAGAAGAUCCUGCGAAGAAGGCAUGAAGUAUUGAUCAGAUUUGUUAAUAGAGCAGUAUGUUCAAAACAUUUUUUAGAAAAAGAUAUUGACAGAACUUCACUUUCAACUGUUCGUUUGAGAGACUGUGCUGUUCCAAUAGCUUAUAUCACACAGAAACAGCUGAGAGAAGUGGUCUACAAAAAACCAGGAAGGAAAUGGAAUAAUAUGUGGCUAUGAAAGGCAAAAGAAAGGUUUACAAAGCAAAUGUGACACAUUUUUUUAUAGGAAUAUCAGUAAAUUACAUUAAAAAAAUGUAUGAAAAGAUUUUUUGCAAUAAAAAUGUUUAUAUUUA